rnacentral:piRNA from 1 species
UCGUGGUAGGUGAUGCCCUUUUCUUUGC